rnacentral:rRNA from 1 species
GAUGAACGCUGGCGGCGUGCCUAAUACAUGCAAGUCGAGCGAACAGACGAGGAGCUUGCUCCUCUGACGUUAGCGGCGGACGGGUGAGUAACACGUGGAUAACCUACCUAUAAGACUGGGAUAACUUCGGGAAACCGGAGCUAAUACCGGAUAAUAUAUUGAACCGCAUGGUUCAAUAGUGAAAGACGGUUUUGCUGUCACUUAUAGAUGGAUCCGCGCCGCAUUAGCAAGUUGGUAAGGUAACGGCUUACCAAGGCAACGAUGCGUAGCCGACCUGAGAGGGUGAUCGGCCACACUGGAACUGAGGCACGGUCCAGACUCCUACGGGAGGCAGCAGUAGGGAAUCUUCCGCAAUGGGCGAAAGCCUGACGGAGCAACGCCGCGUGAGUGAUGAAGGUCUUCGGAUCGUAAAACUCUGUUAUUAGGGAAGAACAAAUGUGUAAGUAACUAUGCACGUCUUGACGGUACCUAAUCAGAAAGCCACGGCUAACUACGUG